GUGGGUGCGGGGAUGGGGCGCUCGAACAGCUCUGUGUGGCUGCGGGCUGAGCCCCACGGGGGUCUGUGCCCCCACAGCUGGGCUGGCAGCCCUCCUGCCGUGCUCUCUGGUGGACGGUUCAGACACUGCUUGUAUUUUCUUAAUUCCUGAAAAAAAACAUAUAGUUGAGGAAACUCCUCCCUGCAGUUCGCUGGGAGAGGCUGGGCCGUGGGGAUGUGCUUGGGCUGGGACCCAUCGGGCUCAUCUUGGAGGGAUGGAGAGCCCGGCUUCAAGCGGGGUGGGGAGCCCAGCAAGGGACAGGUUGGGGAGCACCAGGCCAAGGGAGGGGAACGGAGGAGAAACUGGCUGUAAACAAGGGGAGCGUGACCAGACUAGCCUGGCUCCAGCACCGUGCUGAAGGCAGAACAAAAAAUAAACUGCAGAAAAAGCCAAUUAUGUUUUCAGCUGGCUGGAGCAGGGCUCGGAUCUGCGUGCAGCACGACCAGGGGAGGCUCGGGGAAGUGUCCUGGGAUCAAGGGGUUGGGACUGUGCAAACAGGGUGAACCUGCUGGCUGAGCAUCUGUCCUGGAGCCUGAGAGGGCCCUUUGGUUGAGGAGGGGAGAGAAGACGAUCCCGGGCUGAAUUGUGGCUGGAGGAAGGUGGAGCACAUCUGUCCGCUGGGUCUCUUGAUCUUUGGAAGUCAGGGGCUGUUCUCAGUUAGAAAUGCAAUUUCAAAAUUCCUUCAUCUUUUGAUAUUCGGGUUUCGGGUUUUUGGGGUUUGCUCUAAACUUUUUUUUCUGUAAUACCAAGCUUUAUGUGUUUUCCACAGGGUGUCAGAAAAAUCAUAAGCACAAACUGCAGCUGGUGCUUCUGGGGCUAGUGAGGAUCGGUGGGAGCAAAUGAGGUGCUCCCCACACUGCUUGGCUUUUGGGGGCACUGGCUGUGCCUGUCCUUCUCUGCCCUUUGGGGACAAAACUGGUGUAAUGAUUGCACUCGGAUUCCUUCAGGCUCCAAACCAGACACGAGAUAGGAACCAGGAAUCCUUUUCAAAGUCGUGUUUUAACAAAGGAUAUUCCUCUUGUUUUUCCAGACACGCAACUUACAAUAUUUGGAGUUUUAAGUAUGUCAUUUGAAUUCUUUCACACAGGGUGGAUUUAAAAAUCAUCUUCCUUAGAGAUGCCUCCUACUUGCCAAAAGGUAAAUUCCUCUGUCUGCUGCUUUUUGUCUUUUUCACUUGAAAUGCUGCAGGGCUGCCCUGGUCCCACCCUGCAGAUUGUAAUGUUUGGAAAAGGGAGGAGAUGAGAACUAUCCCUUUCUCACUGACAUUAAUUACAAGUAUUAAACACCAAGGCAGCUACACAACAUUACAGACAAAAUAAAAACACGAGUUGGAGGAGCCAAGUUCUGCAUUUGGUGCUCCACAAUCAAGAUGUGUCUGAGCACAUCAUGGCACGGACGUGCCAGAAGCACAUCCCUCAGUUCCAGUCCUGCUCCUGGUCUGGCUGGUCCAGUCAGGACUCAGAGAACCAGGUCCAUCUUUUUCCUGUGUGAUGGUGGUGAUGGUGGUGAUGGUGGUGAUGGUCGUGGUGGUGGUGGUUAUUUUGUUGGUCAUGGUCAUUGUGGUCCCCAAAGUGCAUCUCCCACCCUCAUGCCAGGGCUGGGGUUUAUUUCCCAGGGAAGGUGGUGCCUCUCACAAGGUGUUUGGUGGGGUCCCCUCUGCCUGAACCCCCCAGGACUGAGGGUUUCCCACCACCAGGGUUGUGUGAGAUCCCUCCCCAGCCUGUGCUGUGCUGGCUUGGUGGGAGAAGCCUUCGCUGCUGCUCUGGGCCGUCUCACGCUCUGCCUCGGCUUGUAAUUAAAAAUGAAAUAUUUGGGCUAA